rnacentral:rRNA from 1 species
GACGAGCGCUGGCGGCGUGCCUAAUACAUGCAAGUUGAGCGCUGAAGGUUGGUACUUGUACCAACUGGAUGAGCAGCGAACGGGUGAGUAACGCGUGGGGAAUCUGCCUUUGAGCGGGGGACAACAUUUGGAAACGAAUGCUAAUACCGCAUAAAAACUUUAAACACAAGUUUUAAGUUUGAAAGAUGCAAUUGCAUCACUCAAAGAUGAUCCCGCGUUGUAUUAGCUAGUUGGUGAGGUAAAGGCUCACCAAGGCGAUGAUACAUAGCCGACCUGAGAGGGUGAUCGGCCACAUUGGGACUGAGACACGGCCCAAACUCCUACGGGAGGCAGCAGUAGGGAAUCUUCAGCAAUGGACGAAAGUCUGACCGAGCAACGCCGCGUGAGUGAAGAAGGUUUUCGGGUCGUAAAACUCUGUUGGUAGAGAAGAACGUUGGUGAGAGUGGAAAGCUCAUCAAGUGACGGUAACUACCCAGAAAGGGACGGCUAACUACGUG